rnacentral:rRNA from 1 species
AUUGAACGCUGGCGGCAUGCCUUACACAUGCAAGUCGAACGCGAAAGCGGGGCAACCCGCAAGUAGAGUGGCGAACGGGUGAGUAAUACAUCGGAACAUUUCCAGUAGCGGGGGAUAACCUGUCGAAAGAUAGGCUAAUACCGCAUACGCCCCACGGGGGAAAACGGAGGACCGCAAGGCUUCGCACUAUUGGAGUGGCCGAUGUCGGAUUAGCUAGUUGGCGGGGUAAAAGCCCACCAAGGCUACGAUCCGUAGCUGGUCUGAGAGGACGAUCAGCCACACUGGAACUGAGACACGGUCCAGACUCCUACGGGAGGCAGCAGUGGGGAAUUUUGGACAAUGGGCGCAAGCCUGAUCCAGCCAUGCCGCGUGAGUGAAGAAGGCCUUCGGGUUGUAAAGCUCUUUCGGCGGGGACGAAAAGGUCCGUGCUAAUACCACGGACUAAUGACGGUACCCGAAGAAGAAGCACCGGCUAACUACGUGCCAGCAGCCGCAGUAACAC